rnacentral:rRNA from 1 species
UACGUAGGCAGCGAGCGUUGUUCGGAUUUACUGGGCGUAAAGGGCGCGUAGGCGGCCUUCUAAGUCGAACGUGAAAUCCCCGGGCUCAACCCGGGAACUGCGUCCGAUACUGGGAGGCUUGAAUCCGGGAGAGGGAUGUGGAAUUCCAGGUGUAGCGGUGAAAUGCGUAGAUAUCUGGAGGAACACCGGUGGCGAAGGCGGCAUCCUGGACCGGUAUUGACGCUGAGGCGCGAAAGCCAGGGGAGCAACCGGG